CUGCGAGUGAAGCGGGAAAAGCUCAAAUUUAAAAUCUGGCGGUCUCUGACUGUCCGAGUUGUAAUCUAGAGAAGUGUUAUCCGCGCUGGACCGUGUACAAGUCUCCUGGAAUGGAGCGUCAUAGAGGGUGAGAAUCCCGUCUUUGACACGGACUGCCAGGGCUUUGUGAUAUGCUCUCAAAGAGUCGAGUUGUUUGGGAAUGCAGCUCAAAAUGGGUGGUAAAUUCCAUCUAAAGCUAAAUAUUGGCGAGAGACCGAUAGCGAACAAGUACCGUGAGGGAAAGAUGAAAAGAACUUUGGAAAGAGAGUUAAACAGUACGUGAAAUUGCUGAAAGGGAAACGCUUGAAGUCAGUCACGUUGGCCAGGGAUCAACCUUGCUUUUGCUUGGUGUACUUUCUGGUUGAUGGGUCAGCAUCAAUUUUGACCAUUGGAAAAAGGUCAAGGGAAUGUGGCAUCUUCGGAUGUGUUAUAGCCCUUGGUUGCAUACAAUGGUUGGGAUUGAGGAACUCAGCAUGCCGCAAGGCCGGGUUUUUAACCACGUACGUGCUUAGGAUGCUGGCAAAAUGGCUUUAAUCGACCCGUCUUGAAACACGGACCAAGGAGUCUAACAUGCCUGCGAGUGUUUGGGUGGAAAACCCGAGCGCGUAAUGAAAGUGAAAGUUGAGAUCCCUGUCGUGGGGAGCAUCGACGCCCGGACCAGACCUUUUGUGACGGUUCCGCGGUAGAGCAUGUAUGUUGGGACCCGAAAGAUGGUGAACUAUGCCUGAAUAGGGUGAAGCCAGAGGAAACUCUGGUGGAGGCUCGUAGCGAUUCUGACGUGCAAAUCGAUCGUCAAAUUUG
rnacentral:rRNA from 2 species